UCAUCAAGCACACAAUAUAUGGGCUUACUGCAAAGCUUUUUACAUGUGCUAGAACUCUAAGGAAAACGCAUUGCAUUGUUCGGAUCUAAAUAAGGAAUUAUGUCAAAGAAAGCGUUAAUGCCAGCUAUUGAAUGCUGACCAUCCCAUCCUGCAAAUAACUAAAGCAACAGCCAUUGACAGAGGAUUUUGCUGAUUUUGUUUUCUUUCUUUUUUCCUCUCUGGAAAUAUGAGAAGAAGAUGAAAUUCGUGCCGCCCAGCAGCUACCCUGAUGAUUACCAGCAAAUCUAAAAGCUCUUGCAGCUGUUUGGGGAUUUUAAGAUCUGGCCACUUGCUUGCUCAGGUUUCAGUUGAAAUGCCAGCAUAACUUGGAUGAAUGGUUGCUACAAACAACUGAACUAACGCCACCACCUGGCACCACUGUGAUGAAAAGGUUUCAGAUUGUGGUUUAAAUAAAGAUGUAGAUUUUUAAAGACCUAGAGAAGUCAUUCUGUUGCCAGGUCAGGUUCAUGAAUCCCUGCCAAAAGAGCGCUGUAAUGUCUUGCUAUGCAAUGCACCUACACGUGCCAUGGACACUUCCGAAUAUUGUUGUACUGUUCUGAGUUGGAAUUAAAGUUCUGCUAUCUA